rnacentral:rRNA from 1 species
UGGAUCCAGACUUUGAUCUGGCUCAGGACGAACGCUGGCGGCACGCUUAACACAUGCAAGUCGAACGGAGAAUAUCGAAGCUUGCUUUGAUAUUCUUAGUGGCGGACGGGUGAGUAACACGUGAGUAACCUGCCUCUGAGAGUGGGAUAGCUUCUGGAAACGGAUGGUAAUACCGCAUGAAAUCAUAGUAUCGCAUGGUACAAUGAUCAAAGAUUUAUCGCUCAGAGAUGGACUCGCGUCUGAUUAGCUAGUUGGUAAGGUAACGGCUUACCAAGGCGACGAUCAGUAGCCGGACUGAGAGGUUGAUCGGCCACAUUGGGACUGAGACACGGCCCAGACUCCUACGGGAGGCAGCAGUGGGGAAUAUUGCACAAUGGGGGAAACCCUGAUGCAGCGAUGCCGCGUGGAGGAAGAAGGUUUUCGGAUUGUAAACUCCUGUUGAAGAGGACGAUAAUGACGGUACUCUUUUAGAAAGCUCCGGCUAACUACGUGCCAGCAGCCGCGGUAAUACGUAGGGAGCGAGCGUUGUCCGGAAUUACUGGGUGUAAAGGGAGCGUAGGCGGGACGGCAAGUCAGAUGUGAAAACUAUGGGCUCAACCCAUAGACUGCAUUUGAAACUGUUGUUCUUGAGUGAGGUAGAGGUAAGCGGAAUUCCUGGUGUAGCGGUGAAAUGCGUAGAGAUCAGGAGGAACAUCGGUGGCGAAGGCGGCUUACUGGGCCUUUACUGACGCUGAGGCUCGAAAGCGUGGGGAGCAAACAGGAUUAGAUACCCUGGUAGUCCACGCCGUAAACGAUGAUUACUAGGUGUGGGGGGACUGACCCCUUCCGUGCCGCAGUUAACACAAUAAGUAAUCCACCUGGGGAGUACGGCCGCAAGGUUGCAACUCAAAUGAAUUGACGGA